CAAAGGAUAGUUUAUAUAAAAUAUUAAUUUUGGAGAUUAAUGAUAAAAUAGCUAUUUUUCCUUUGA
rnacentral:tRNA from 1 species